UGCGUUUGGGGCUCUAAAAGUACAAACGAA
rnacentral:piRNA from 1 species